rnacentral:rRNA from 1 species
AUUGAACGCUGGCGGCAUGCCUUACACAUGCAAGUCGAACGGUAACGGGUCCUUCGGGAUGCCGACGAGUGGCGAACGGGUGAGUAAUAUAUCGGAACGUGCCCAGUAGUGGGGGAUAACUGCUCGAAAGAGCGGCUAAUACCGCAUACGACCUGAGGGUGAAAGGGGGGGAUCGCAAGACCUCUCGCUAUUGGAGCGGCCGAUAUCAGAUUAGCUAGUUGGUGGGGUAAAGGCCUACCAAGGCAACGAUCUGUAGUUGGUCUGAGAGGACGCACAGCCACACUGGGACUGAGACGCGGCCCAGACUCCUACGGGAGGCAGCAGUGGGGAAUUUUGGACAAUGGGCGCAAGCCUGAUCCAGCAAUGCCGCGUGCAGGAAGAAGGCCUUCGGGUUGUAAACUGCUUUUGUCAGGGAAGAAAUCUUCUGGGCUAAUACCCCGGGAGGAUGACGGUACCUGAAGAAUAAGCACCGGCUAACUACGUGCCAGCCGCCGCAGUAA